rnacentral:rRNA from 1 species
AGUGAACGCUGGCGGUAGGCCUAACACAUGCAAGUCGAACGGCAGCACAGUAAGAGCUUGCUCUUACGGGUGGCGAGUGGCGGACGGGUGAGGAAUACAUCGGAAUCUACUUUUUCGUGGGGGAUAACGUAGGGAAACUUACGCUAAUACCGCAUACGACCUACGGGUGAAAGCAGGGGAUCUUCGGACCUUGCGCGAUUGAAUGAGACGAUGUCGGAUUAGCUAGUUGGCGGGGUAAAGGCCCACCAAGGCGACGAUCCGUAGCUGGUCUGAGAGGAUGAUCGGCCACACUGGAACUGAGACACGGUCCAGACUCCUACGGGAGGCAGCAGUGGGGAAUAUUGGACAAUGGGCGCAAGCCUGAUCCAGCCAUACCGCGUGGGUGAAGAAGGCCUUCGGGUUGUAAAGCCCUUUUGUUGGGAAAGAAAAGCAGCAGGUUAAUACCCCGCUGUUCUGACGGUACCCAAAGAAUAAGCACCGGCUAACUUCGUG